rnacentral:rRNA from 1 species
UACGGAGGACCCGAGCGUUAUCCGGAUUUAUUGGGCUUAAAGGGUGCGUAGGCUGUUUAUUAAGUUAGAGGUGAAAGCUCGAUGCUCAACAUCGAAAUUGCCUCUGAUACUGGUAGACUAGAGUAUAGUUGCGGAUGGCGGAAUGUGUGGUGUAGCGGUGAAAUGCUUAGAUAUCACACAGAACACCGAUUGCGAAGGCAGCUGUCCAAGCUAUUACUGACGCUGAUGCACGAAAGCGUGGGGAGCGAACAGG